UAGAACUAAAGCAAGUGAAAUAAUAAAAUAAGAUAAAAGUCUUGAUAAUCCCAGUCUGCCAUUAAUGAUCUGUCUCCAACUUUUCCAUUUUCAAUAGUGUCUUUUGGAUUUUGUUGGAAUAGGAAAUCUGGUUCGCUUGGCCGUUCCAUUUCCAAUUAUCAUUGAGCAUAGCUGGGGACCUCUCCCAUCAGGUAAACCAUUUCUUUCUGCUUUAGGCUUGUUGUGGCUAUGUUAGGGGCUAACUGAUUAGCCAAACUAGGAACAAAGUUAAAAACUAGUGAUUGAAAUCUUUCUUUUUCUUUUUGAAUGUUCUUGAUAUGCGCGCUGAUUUGUGAUUUAUCGAUUGAUCAUAUCAUGCAUUUGUUGAUGAUGGAUUUGGAGUCUCCUUCCACUAUUACAUUUGUGAAACCCAUUUCGAUCCCUGUGAGCACGACUUCAAAACAUGCGAUGGCUUCUGCGUCAAAUGUCGUGCCAACCGCCGUAUGAAGACGAGAUUUAUAAAUCAUGACUUCUUUGUUGGCAUUUUAUGCAACAAUCGCAGAUGCUAGUUUAAAGCCUAUAUAGUCGAAUGAGGCAUCGAAAUUGAUUUUAAUGAUUUCUAUUCCUGUCAAGCCAAAACACCCACAUUCCACAGACAAACAAGCGUAGUUGGAGCUCAGUACACCUACUAAAAAUCCAUGACAUUCCCCACAGACAUGCCAAAGGGUCUUAAUACCCAUCUUGCAUCUAGGGAGCUUGUUGCUAUGGGUUAAUCUCCUAACAUAUAAGUUGACUAUCAUUGGGAGGAAAUUCCAAGACACUCUCCGAGCAUAAUUUUUGUUUUGUUAGGCAUUUGUAGUUCCCAUAGUUGUUUGUAGAAUUAUUUUAUUGUGUUCUAUGGAGCAUUAAAUCUAGUUGUAGUAUUCUGAGUCUGUAAUAGUUUAUAGGCAUUAUGAACCGAGAAUGUACCUGAGGGCUCACCGCGCCAUAUGAUUAUAUCAGCAUGCUCGUCUCUUGCUAAUGAGAUCUGCAAGAUUCUAUCUACAUUAUUCGUCUCGAAGAUAUGUGAGUUGAGAGAUUUUGGAUAUCAAUACAAUGUUCGUGACAUUUAGAAGUUCCAAAUCUCUGCCUUCAUUUAAAAUUUCCAAACAGAAGGAGGUUACUUCUGUACUGAUUACGUGCCAACAUUUUUGGAAGAAAACCAUUGGAAAGCCGUCGUCUCUGGGAGCCUUUGUAGGGCCCAUUCCUUUCAAAGCUAUCCAGAUUUAUUCAACGGUGUACUUUGUUGUAAGCUGUAUAUUUGCAUAUUCAGUAAUACAUUUCUCAAUUCCUUGUAAGACCGAUUUGAUGUUGCUUACUCCUCUUGAUGUGAACAGCUCUUGAAAGAAGUCCUUUUCUAUCAUCCUCCAUCUUUUCCAUA